rnacentral:rRNA from 1 species
AGUGAACGCUGGCGGUAGGCCUAACACAUGCAAGUCGAACGGCAGCACAGUAAGAGCUUGCUCUUACGGGUGGCGAGUGGCGGACGGGUGAGGAAUACAUCGGAAUCUACUUUUUCGUGGGGGAUAACGUAGGGAAACUUACGCUAAUACCGCAUACGACCUACGGGUGAAAGCAGGGGAUCUUCGGACCUUGCGCGAUUGAAUGAGCCGAUGUCGGAUUAGCUAGUUGGCGGGGUAGAGGCCCACCAAGGCGACGAUCCGUAGCUGGUCUGAGAGGAUGAUCAGCCACACUGGAACUGAGACACGGUCCAGACUCCUACGGGAGGAAGCAGUGGGGAAUAUUGGGCAAUGGGCGCAAGCCUGAUCCAGCCAUACCGCGUGGGUGAAGAAGGCCUUCGGGUUGUAAAGCCCUUUUGUUGGGAAAGAAAAGCAGCAGGUUAAUACCCCGCUGUUCUGACGGUACCCAAAGAAUAAGCACCGGCUAACUUCGUG